UUUUGCCUACUGAAUGAAACUAGGUUGCUUCCAGUCACUAGGGACUUGAACCUAGCUAGACUCAAGUGUUUGAAAGGAUAUGUAAUUUAGAUCAGUUGAGCAAUUGCGUAGAAGCUCUGUGUCUAAUCACUAUGUUAUGACUCUUGUCAAGUCUGUCACAGGGGACCAGCCUAAGUUCUGAAGUUCUGAGCUGGGAGAUGAGAGAAAGAAUUGAGACUCAGCAUCUUCAUAGCGUUUGGCGUUAGCAGAGUCCGGGUUAAGCAGCUCGGAUGGCUGCCUAGUGGAAGCUCUCGUGUUGAUUGGCUGUCAUGUUAUGAUGGAUGCUGUUAUACCUCCUUCUAUAUGGAUAACUGAAACUUCUUGUUCAAACGUCUCUUUCCUUGAUUCUUCAAGAGCAGAGUCUCAUGGUACAGGCCAGGGCAGCCUUGAACUCCUGAUCAUGCUACCUCUGCUUCCUGAAUACUGGGACUAUAGAUCCAGAUGUAGAACUCUCAACUACUGUCCGUAACAUGUCUGCCUGCAUGUCUGCCAUGUCUGUCUUGCUUCCCCCAUGACGAGACCUUUGAAACUGUAAGCAAGCCCCAAAUAAAUGAUUUAUUUUAUAAGA